AUUGAACGCUGGCGGCAGGCCUAACACAUGCAAGUCGAACGAGUGGCGGACGGGUGAGUAAUGUAUGGGGAACUGCCUGAUGGAGGGGGAUAACUACUGGAAACGGUAGCUAAUACCGCAUACCAUCGGAUGUGCCCAGAUGGGAUUAGCUAGUAGGUGGGGUAAAGGCUCACCUAGGAGACGAUCCCUAGCUGGUCUGAGAGGAUGAACAGCCACACUGGGACUGAGACACGGGCCAGACUCCUACGGGAGGCAGCAGUGGGGAAUAUUGCGCAAUGGGCGCAAGCCUGAUGCAGCCAUGCCGAGUGUAUGAAGAAGGGCUUCGGGUUGUAAAGUACGUUCAGCGGGGAGGCGUUACCCGCAGAAGAAGCACCGGCUAACUCCGUGCCAGCAGCCGCGGUAAUAC
rnacentral:rRNA from 1 species